rnacentral:rRNA from 1 species
CCUACGGGAGGCUGCAGUGAGGAAUAUUGGUCAAUGGGCGCGAGCCUGAUCCAGCCAAGCAGCGUGAAGGAUGACUGCCCUACGGGCUGUAAACUUCUUUUAUAAAGGAAUAAAGUGCGGCACGUGUGCCUUUUUGUAUGUACUUUAUGAAUAAGGAUCGGCUAACUCCGCGCCAGCAGCCGCUGUAAUACGGAUGAUCCGAGCGUUAUGCGGACUUAUUGGGUUUAAAGGGAGCGUAGAUGGGGUGUUAAGUCAGUUGUGAAAGUUUGCGGCUCAACCGUAAGAUUGCAAUUGAUACUGGCAGGCUGGAGUACAGUUGAGGUAGGCGGAAUUCGUGGUGUAGCGGUGAAAUGCUUAGAUAUCACGAAGAACUCCGAUUGCGGAGGCAGCCUACUAAACUGCAACUGACAUUGAUGCUCGAAAGUGUGGGUAUCAAACAGGAUUAGAUACCCCGGUAGUC